rnacentral:lncRNA from 1 species
AAUAAAGAAAAAUGAGGACAUGAUCGUUCCAAGGUGGAGCUGAGAAGGAGAUUUAUUGUAGAUAUGAGAGAGAGCACAGCCAGAGGUUCCUGGAAGCAUCUAGACUGAACUGGGCCAGCAGCCAUGAGAGAUGAGGGUGAGGAGACCAAGAGAGAAAGGGGGUUGGGAGCUGCAGACCAAGAGACCAAGAGGCUAAAAGCACCAAGACAGCCAAGAGAAUGUGCAGCCAAAAUGGCUGGGUUAUCCAGGAGUCAGAGAUGUUGAGGAAAAGGAAGUGAAACUCAGGGGCUGGGGUGGUUUAGGGUAGGGGCAUGGGGUAUGCCAGGCAGGGUGACUCUUAAUAGACACUUGUGGAAUAUUUUAGGUUGUGUUACAUUUCUUCCUACUGCUUUUGGUUACAAUACAAACAAAAAAAAAAAACAAAAACAAAAACAAAAACAAAACGAAACAAGACAAAAAACAGGUUCCGUCUGUUUGAUUAAAUAAAAUUAACCUGUAGACAGGAGGCUGAGUCAGCAACCACCUGACAGGAAGUUGUAGGGAGGAGCCAGGUGUAGUGUGUCCUUAAGUGGGAGCAGGGCAGAAGGGCCCCUGGGUUUUCGGGAGAGUUGAGGAAGGGCAGGGUUAACUACUUGUGAUUCAGCCUCUUGGAGCCAGCAGAAUUUCACCUCAACCUUUAAGUCCUGAGUUCUAAAAAGGGAUAGAGAUCUAGAAAAUGUUUCCCUUAGUGGCUUUGAGAGAGUGGCUGUGUGAGGGGACAGAAUUUCUGUAGGCUGUGGCCCUUGCAGCUGAACCACUGCUGGUAGGAGCAGAAUUGCAGUUGUUCAGAGGACAGGGUGCAAUGUGCAUCGCUUGGAUCCAGAGCUGCAAUGCAUUCUGGUUAGUUUGCAAUCUUCUCAUUCUCCCACAGGAAUUCUGAUGCAAAGACAGAAUCAUAUCUUAGAAUGGAUUUUUUUUUUAACCACACAGAGUGAAAAUUAGAGACCUAUAUAGAAAAGGUUUCUGAAUUGAUUCUUUUUUUUUAAUUUUCUUAACCUUUAUUAGAUUUUUUUUUGUCAUAUGUGUGCACACUGUGGGUUAAAUAUGGGCUUGUACAUGCUAGGCAAGGGCUUAGUCACAUCUCUUCUUUUUUUUCCCAGAUUUUUAAAAAUUUGAAUUAGAAACAAAAUUGUUUUACAUGACAAUCCCAGUUCCCUUCUCCCUCCCGUCCUCUCCUACCACCACCCCCAACUGAAACCCUACCUAUCACAUAUCCUUUCUGCUCCCCAUGGAUGGUAAGGCCUUCCAUAGGGUGCCAUCAGAGUCUUUCAUAUCCUUUGGGAUAGGGCCUAGGCCCACCCCUGUGUGUCUUGGCUCAGGGAGUAUCCCUCUAUGUGGACUGGGCUCCCAAAGUCCACAUCUAUGCUAGGGAUAAGGACUGAACUACUACAGGAGGUCCUGUAGAUUUCUGAGGUUUCCUCACUGAAACCCAUGUUCCUGGGGUCUGGUUCAGUCCCAUGCUGGUAUCCCAGCUAUCAGUCUGGGGACCAAGAGUUCUCUGAUGUUCAGGUCAGCUGUUUCUGUGGGUUUCACCAGCCUGGCCUGGACCCCUUUGCUCUUCAUUCGUCCUUCUCUGCAUCUGGAUUCCAGUUCAGUUCAGUGAUUAGUUGUGUCUGCUUCUACUUCCACCAGCUGCUGGAUGCGGGCUAUCGGGUAGCAUAUAAGUUAGUUAUCAAUCUCAUUACCAGGGGAAGGCAUUUAAGGUAGCCUCUCCUCUGUUGCUUAGAUUGUUAGCUGGUGUCUUCUUUGUAGAUCUCCAGAAAUUUCCCUAGUGCCUGAUAUAUCUGUAAACCUAAAAUGUUUCCCUUAUUAUGGUAUCUCCAUUCUUGCUACUUCUAUUCAUCCCCUGACUCAAACUUUCUGCUCCCUCAUAUCCUCUGUAUCCCUCCUCUUCUCCCCUUCUCAUUCUCCUAGCUCCCUCUCCCCUCUUCCCGUGCUCCCAAUUUGCUCAGGGGAUCUUGACCCAUUCCCCUUCUCCAGGGGACCAUGUAUGUCUCUCUUAGGGUCCUCCUUGUUUACUAGCUUCUCUGGCAGUGUGGAUUGUAGGCUGGUAAUCCUUUACUCUAUGUCUAAAAUCCGCAUAUGAGUAAGUACAUAUCAUGUUUGUCUUUUU